UAGUUAUGAUGAGGACAAUCUCUGAGCAGCCUAUUGAAUCUCUCCCAAGAUGAAUAUAAAGACUCACCCGACUUCUGUUCGAAGGCUAUGAUCUCACUUCUGAUCUU
rnacentral:snoRNA from 1 species